GACGAACGCUGGCGGCGUGCUUAACACAUGCAAGUCGAACGGAAAGGCCCAGCUUGCUGGGUGCUCGAGUGGCGAACGGGUGAGUAACACGUGGGUGAUCUGCCCCUAACUUCGGGAUAAGCUUGGGAAACUGGGUCUAAUACCGGAUGGGACAAUCGUUUAGUGUCGGUUGUGGAAAGUUUUUUCGGUUAGGGAUGAGCCCGCGGCCUAUCAGCUUGUUGGUGGGGUAAUGGCCUACCAAGGCGUCGACGGGUAGCCGGCCUGAGAGGGUGGACGGCCACAUUGGGACUGAGGUACGGCCCAGACUCCUACGGGAGGCAGCAGUGGGGAAUAUUGUACAAUGGGCGCAAGCCUGAUGCAGCGACGCCGCGUGGGGGAUGACGGCCUUCGGGUUGUAAACCUCUUUCGACAGGGACGAAGCUUUGGUGACGGUACCUGUAGAAGAAGCACCGGCUAACUACGUG
rnacentral:rRNA from 1 species